AAUACCGCAUACGAUCUUCUGAAGGCAUCUUCGGAAAAAGAAAGGAAAUAUUCGGUAAAAGAUGGGCCCGCAUCUGAUUAGCUAGUUGGUGAGAUAAUAGCCCACCAAGGCAACGAUCAGUAGCCGACCUGAGAGGGUGACCGGCCACAUUGGGACUGAGACACGGCCCAAACUCCUACGGGAGGCAGCAGUGGGGAAUAUUGCACAAUGGGCGAAAGCCUGAUGCAGCAACGCCGCGUGAAGGAAGACGGUUUUCGGAUUGUAAACUUCUAUCAAUAGGGAAGAAAGAAAUGACGGUACCUAAAUAAGAAGCCCCGGCUAACUACGUGCCAGCAGCCGCGGUAAUACGUAGGGGGCAAGCGUUAUCCGGAAUUACUGGGUGUAAAGGGAGAGUAGGCGGCAAGGCAAGCGAUAUGUGAAAGCCUUAAGCUUAACUUAAGGAUUGCAUAACGAACUAUCUAGCUAGAGUACAGGAGAGGAAAGCGGAAUUCCUAGUGUAGCGGUGAAAUGCGUAGAUAUUAGGAAGAACACCAGUGGCGAAGGCGGCUUUCUGGACUGAAACUGACGCUGAGGCUCGAAAGCGUGGGGAGCGAACAGGAUUAGAUACCCUGGUAGUCCACGCUGUAAACGAUGAGUGCUAGGUGUCGGGGAGGAAUUCCCGGUGCCGGAGC
rnacentral:rRNA from 1 species